rnacentral:rRNA from 1 species
AUUGAACGCUGGCGACAUGCCUUACACAUGCAAGUCGAACGGCAGCACGGGUGCUUGCACCUGGUGGCGAGUGGCGAACGGGUGAGUAAUACAUCGGAACAUGUCCUGUAGUGGGGGAUAGCCCGGCGAAAGCCGGAUUAAUACCGCAUACGAUCUACGGAUGAAAGCGGGGGACCUUCGGGCCUCGCGCUAUAGGGUUGGCCGAUGGCUGAUUAGCUAGUUGGUGGGGUAAAGGCCUACCAAGGCGACGAUCAGUAGCUGGUCUGAGAGGACGACCAGUCACACUGGGACUGAGACACGGCCCAGACUCCUACGGGAGGCAGCAGUGGGGAAUUUUGGACAGUGGGCGAAAGCCUGAUCCAGCAAUGCCGCGUGUGUGAAGAAGGCCUUCGGGUUGUAAAGCACUUUUGUCCGGAAAGAAAUCCUUGGCCCUAAUACGGUCGGGGGAUGACGGUACCGGAAGAAUAAGCACCGGCUAACUACGU